GCUCAUAGGCAGAAGGGACUUGCCCUGUCUCAGUCUUAUGAAGCAAGCUGCCUACAGAAAUGUCCAUGUGUCAGGAAACUGAAGCUGGCUCAUGGUCAGCAGCCAGCAAGCUACAAAGGGCUUCCAACAGCCCAUGAAGCACUGAGUCCUGCCAAAAGCCACGUGCAUGAGCUUAGAAGAGCUUCAUCCUCCAGGCUAGGAAAGAGACAGUCGGUGUGCAGCAAGAGAAAAGAGAGGAGGAAACAUGUGGAAAGACCCAAAGAAUGAAGACACAAGAGCAUGCCUGAAUGCAAUGGGAAGUAGAUCAGUUGACCUUUGCUGAAUAACAAGGUGGACCUAAAACUGGGUGACUUGAAACAGCUAUGUGUCAGGCCUCUGAGCCCAAGCCAAGCCAUCGCAUCCCCUGUCACUUGCACGUAUACAUCCAGAUGUCCUGAAGUAACUGAAGAUCCACAAAAGAAGUAAAAAUAGCCUUAACUGAUGACAUUCCACCGUUGUGAUUUGUUCCUGCCCCACCCUAACUGAUCAAUGUAUUUUGUAAUCUCCCCCACCCUUAAGAAGGUACUUUGUAAUCUCCCCCACCCUUAAGAAGGUUCUUUGUAAUUCUCCCCACCCUUGAGAAUGUACUUUGUGAGAUCCACCCCUGCCCGCAAAACAUUGCUCUUAACUUCACCGCCUAUCCCAAAACCUAUAAGAACUAAUGAUAAUCCACCACCCUUUGCUGACUCUCUUUUCGGACUCAGCCCACCCGCACCCAGGUGAAAUAAACAGCUUUAUUGCUCACACAAA
rnacentral:lncRNA from 1 species